AUUGAACGCUGGCGGCAUGCUUUACACAUGCAAGUCGAACGGUAACAGGCCUUCGGGUGCUGACGAGUGGCGAACGGUUGAGUAAUGCAUCUGAACGUUCCCAGAGGUUGUGGAUAACGCAUCGAAAGCUGUGCUAAUACCGCAUGUGAUCUGAUGAUGAAAGCGUGGGACCAUGCAGCAAUGUUUGGCCUCGCGCCUUUGUAGCGGCCGAUGUCAGAUUAGGUAGUUGGUGGGGUAAAGGCCUACCAAGCCGACGAUCUGUAGCUGGUCUGAGAGGACGACCAGCAACACUGGGACUGAGACACGGCCCAGACUCCUACGGGAGGCAGCAGUGGGGAAUUUUGGACAAUGGGCGCAAGCCUGAUCCAGCAAUGCCGCGUGCGGGAAGAAGGCCUUCGGGUUGUAAACCGCUUUUGUAAGGAACGAAAAGGAUCUGGCUAAUACCUGGGGCUGAUGACGGUACCGUAAGAAUAAGCACCGGCUAACUACGUG
rnacentral:rRNA from 1 species